CAGCAGCCGCGGUAAUACGAGGGGGGCAAGUGUUGUUCGGAAUUAUUGGGCGUAAAGGGUGCGUAGGCGGCCCCGCAAGUCUCAUGUGAAAUCUUCAGGCUCAACUUGAAGUCUGCAUGGGAAACUGCGGGGCUGGAGUAUAAGAGAGGGUGGCGGAAUUUCCGGUGUAGCGGUGAAAUGCGUAGAGAUCGGAAGGAACGUCAAUGGCGAAGGCAGCCACCUGGCUUAAUACUGACGCUGAGGCGCGAAAGCGCGGGGAGCGAACAGGAUUAGAUACCCCCGUAGUCCCUGUCUCUUAUAC
rnacentral:rRNA from 1 species